AGUAGGCGGAGCACUAUCAGUCCGCGGAGGAGCAUAUCAAUCAGCGGAGGAAUCAUCAAUCGGAGGAGGACCCUGCAAUGGGCGGACGGUAGCGCCUUACCCUGAAACGGCUUACCCUGUAGCGGCUGCCGGUGGACUACCAAACUCUUGUUAUUUUAUUGUAAUCUGAGCGUCUUAUUUUAAUAAGUUAAAACUUUCAACAACGGAUCUCUUGGUUCUGGCAUCGAUGAAGAACGCAGCGAAAUGCGAUAAGUAAUGUGAAUUGCAGAAUUCAGUGAAUCAUCGAAUCUUUGAACGCACAUUGCGCCCAUUAGUAUUCUAGUGGGCAUGCCUGUUCGAGCGUCAUUUCAACCCUUAAGCCUAGCUUAGUGUUGGGAGCCUACUGCUUUUGCUAGCGGUAGCUCCUGAAAUACAACGGCGGAUCUGCGAUAUCCUCUGAGCGUAGUAAUUUUUAUCUCGCUUUUGACUGGAGUUGCAGCGUCUUUAGCCGCUAAACCCCCCAAUUUUUAAUGGUUGACCUCGGAUCAGGUAGGAAUACCCGCUGAACUUAAGCAUAUCAAUAAGCCGGAGGAAA
rnacentral:rRNA from 1 species